UGCAAUGAACGGGCUUCUAAAUAUUGACAUAUUGACCAUAUGUAUGAAAAAUGGAUAUAUUGAUGAUUUUUUCAGGAAAUCCGAGAAUCCAUAUAAUAUAGAGACCUGGUGACUAUGUCAGGACGGAGCGCAUCGCUGCUGCUUAGGGGGCCACCAAUCCAUACUGUGUAUUUUACCGUGGUCACUCACAAACAGAGUUGUUUGCCAUGGUAUAGACAACCGCAAAAAACUAAAUUGUUUAAAAAGGAUAACUACCAUAACACAAGAACUCACAGUAUAGUACUAAAUUUGCACAAAGUAAAAGGCUAAGAGUAUAAAAUAUCAAUUGUUUAAUAACAUUCUAUGAAGUAUUCUAUAAUGGAAAAUCAUUUGAGACUUACGUAAUCAGCAUGAGAUAGUUUGUUGGGAAAGGUUGCUGAAUAUUGUUCCAUUAUUUAAAAAAAUGACCGCUGAGCGAAUGUAAAUUGGAGGUGGUUGUUUAUCUACACUAGGUACACUAGGUAACUUGUGAGUGAAGUGCAGAGCAAGUAUAUUUCGAGCUAAAAAUGGUUCCUUCCUGAUCAAUAUAGUAAAUUUCAAAAGGAAUAAUUGAAACAAGAACGUAUUGAAAUUUCAAUAAACACAUUGAAAAUGUGUAUGUAC